UGAUGUUGUUCUUCCGUGUGGGGGUCGUCUGCAGCUCUGCCACUAUUGCACUCUGUGGGUGAAAUGCUGGCUUUGUAUUUUAACAUCACUAUUAUUCAUGGUUUAGACUAUCGUAAGGUAAAUUUAGAUUGACUAGAUGUGUUGCACGAGGGUGGCGUAGAAGGAUAAAUGAAUGUUCAGCUGCAUCACAUCGCCCCGAUAGAGCCAUACAACUGGUGGGUAAGCCUUGCCCCACGUCACCUCACCAAACAGAGCAGGUCAGAAUAUAUGCA